AGCCGCCAUGGGAGGUGACGACGCGUGCGCAGUAGCGGGGAGGUACCGCGUCUGCGCGCUAUGGGCAGGACCGGCCCGACUGGCCCGACGGCACUCGAGGCUCCGCAUGCGCAACUCCGCGCGGCGCAUAAUAGCUGGGGGGCUCGGGGCUUGCGCACUGUGAGGGGGUUAUCGCGCGUGCGCGGGAUGAGCCGGGGGUCAAGAGGUUUUCCCGCCCGUCCAGGGUGCGGCUGUGGGCAGCUCUGCGGGGCGGCGUUUCGGCUCCGCCCGCGGCCCUGAGGAGAUGUUUACUCUUCAGUUAAUGCUACCUUACAGUGACUAUCCUAUUGACCUUCAUCUGGUUCAAGCGACUGGAGAAUUAAACUAUAACAACUGCAGAAAGGAUUGGAGCAAGAAAAUGUGAGCUAUUCCUCCCCCACUUUCCUGCCAGCUGUCUAGCUCAGAGUGUUUGUGCUUCUUGCUAGCAAUGUCAGAGACCACCUGGAAAAUGCAACAGAAGAAAACUGGUAAAAAUUCUAAAAUAUGUACAAUAAAGAGGAAAUAAUUGUAAUUGAAUUUUAAUUUGAUAGUGUAUAUAAUGUAGUGACUCAACAGAGCCUCCCAAAAAAUACAGUAUAAACCAGACAGCCCCAGUAACAUUUUCCAUACAAUUCAGACUCCGUUUCAGUGAAUCAUGUGGAACAGCAGCUUAGCUUGCCUUCCAGGUGCUUCUGCAGAAGUUUCAACUCCUUGUGCCACCUCUGUAGGUAACAUCCUGCUGUUCA